rnacentral:rRNA from 1 species
CCUACGGGGGGCUGCAGUGGGGAAUUUUGGACAAUGGGCGCAAGCCUGAUCCAGCCAUUCCGCGUGAGUGAAGAAGGCCUUCGGGUUGUAAAGCUCUUUCGGCCGGGAAGAAAUCGCACGGGUUAAUACCCUGUGUGGAUGACGGUACUGGAAGAAGAAGCACCGGCUAACUACGUGCCAGCAGCCGCGGUAAUACGUAGGGUACGAGCGGUAAUCGGAAGUACUGGGGGUGAUUUGUGCGCCAGCGGUGAAAGCCCCGGGCUUAACCUGGGAACUGCGGUUGUGACUGCAAGACUUGAGUGCGGCAGAGGGGGGUGGAAUUCCACGUGUAGCAGUGAAAUGCGUAGAGAUGUGGAGGAACACCGAUGGCGAAGGCAGCCCCCUGGGUCGACACUGACGCUCAUGCACGAAAGCGUGGGGAGCAAACAGGAUUAGAUACCCCUGUAGUC